rnacentral:rRNA from 9 species
UCGCCGUUUAAAGUGGUACGCGAGCUGGGUUUAGAACGUCGUGAGACAGUUCGGUCCCUAUCUGCCGUGGGCGCUGGAGAAUUGAGGGGGGUUGCUCCUAGUACGAGAGGACCGGAGUGAACGCACCACUGGUGUUCGGGUUGUCAUGCCAAUGGCACUGCCCGGUAGCUAAGUGCGGAAAAGAUAAGUGCUGAAAGCAUCUAAGCACGAAACUUGCCCCGAGAUGAGUUCUCCCUGACCCCUUGAGGGUCCUGAAGGGACGUUGAAGACGACGACGUUGAUAGGCCGGGUGUGUAAGCGCAGCGAUGCGUUGAGCUAACCGGUACUAAUGACCCGUGAGGCUUAACCUUACAACGCCAGAGGCGUUU